AUGGAUCCUCCUUAAUAUCGCAGAUCGUUCCUCGAUUCGCAUCGAUCGCGAGGGCCUCGAGAGGGCGGUGGAGCAGGCGGCGGAUCGCAGUUAGGGUUCUUCUUCUUCCGGUAUGGAGCAGGAGCGGCAGAAGCUGGAGACGGCGGAGAAGUCGGAGUUCGAGUCCCCUAACAUCCCGAUCCUGUGCGCCAACAACUGCGGCUUCUUCGGAAGCCCCGCGACGAACGACCUCUGCUCCAAAUGCUACAAGGACUACUACUUGACUAAAUCCAAGGCGUCGAUGGAGACGCUCGCAAUCCCGCUGGCCGUUGAUCCAAAACUGCUUGAAGAGAAGCCGAUCGUAGCCGACGCGAUCGACGCUGGGUCUGCGAGCUUGGGCGGGUACGGCGAUGCGGCGUCGGAGAGCUCUGACGCGCCGCCGAAGAAUCGCUGCGGUUGCUGCAAUAAGAAGGUGGGAUUGAUGGGGUUUAAGUGCCGCUGUGGGGAGGUGUUCUGUUCUGUCCACAGGUACUCCGACAAGCACGAUUGUACCUUCGACUACAAGGCUUCUGGCCAGGAGGCGAUCUCCAAGGCAAACCCUGUGGUAAAGAUGGACAAGCUUGACAAAAUUUGACGUCCAUGACCUCCUCAUUGAUUCCAGGAAACAGAAGUUUAGGAUUCUGUUAGUGAUUAGCAGGAAUUGAAAUUUUAUAGAGGAACCUCUUCAAGCCAUCCAAGCCGGCUGCGAUCAUAUCCCCAGCCAUUAUUGUCCGACCUAUGCCAAGUAUAGCCGAGAUGUAUCAGUUUCUCUUGAUUUUGAUGGCUCAAUGGAGGUGACAGCCUUGGGAGUUUCUUUGAGUUCUUGCGACUUUCGACAAACUGACUUUAGAGGUUAGGCCUGAUAGGAAUCUUUCUGAGGGUCCUCCAUGAGAUUUGCAUUGCUUAGUAUUAUUCAAAAGAGAUAUGAAGGUUGUAUCUUGAGAUGGCUUUAUCUUUCUGUCACGAUCAUUGCCAUCACUGAGAAAGGUCCAAAAUUUGUUCCUUUUAACAAUUGAUGGGGACGUGGAACCAAGAGGUUCCACUAGCUCUCAGAUAAUAUCUGUUGAGGUUUGGUUCUUCAGAUUUGAUUUUGGUUCAAGCAGAAAAGUCUAUAUUCAAAGUAUUAUUAUUAUUAUUAAUUUUUAUGUGUGAAAACUUGACUGGUGUGGUUGAGC